CCUACGAGUGGCUGCAGUGAGGAAUAUUGGUCAAUGGACGAGAGCCUGAACCAGCCAAGUAGCGUGAAGGAUGACUGCCCUAUGGGUUGUAAACUUCUUUUAUAUGGGAAUAAAAUGUGCCACGUGGGCGAUUUUGUAUGUACUAUAUGAAUAAGGAUCGGCUAACUCCGUGCCAGCAGCCGCGGUAAUACGGAGGAUCCGAGCGUUAUCCGGAUUUAUUGGGUUUAAAGGGAGCGUAGGUGGGUUGUUAAGUCAGUUGUGAAAGUUUGCGGCUCAACCGUAAAAUUGCAGUUGAAACUGGCAGUCUUGAGUACAGUAGAGGUGAGCGGAAUGCGUGGUGUAGCGGUGAAAUGCUUAGAUAUCACGAAGAACUCCGAUUGCGAAGGCAGCUCACUGGACUGCAACUGACACUGAGGCUCGAAAGUGUGGGUAUCAAACAGGAUUAGAUACCCUAGUAGUC
rnacentral:rRNA from 1 species